AGUGAACGCUGGCGGUAGGCCUAACACAUGCAAGUCGAACGGCAGCACAGUAAGAGCUUGCUCUUACGGGUGGCGAGUGGCGGACGGGUGAGGAAUACAUCGGAAUCUACUUUUUCGUGGGGGAUAACGUGGGGAAACUUACGCUAAUACCGCAUACGACCUACGGGUUAAAGCAGGGGAUCUUCGGACCUUGCGCGAUUGAAUGAGCCGAUGUCGGAUUAGCUAGUUGGCGGGGUAACGGCACACCAAGGCGACGAUCCGUAGCUGGUCUGAGAGGAUGAUCAGCCACACUGGAACUGAGACACGGUCCAGACUCCUACGGGAGGCAGCAGUGGGGAAUAUUGGACAAUGGGCGAAAGCCUGAUCCAGCCAUGCCGCGUGGGUGAAGAAGGCCUUCGGGUUGUAAAGCCCUUUUGUUGGGAAAGAAAAGCAGCAGGUUAAUACCCCGCUGUUCUGACGGUACCCAAAGAAUAAGCACCGGCUAACUUCGUG
rnacentral:rRNA from 1 species